rnacentral:rRNA from 1 species
CAAGUCGUUUACCGUGAAAAAAUUAGAGUGUUCAAAGCAGGCAGAUCCAAUUCUCUGCCACCGAAUACAUUAGCAUGGGAUAAUGGAAUAGGACCCUGUCCUCCUAUUUUCAGUUGGUUUUGACACGCGAGGACCAGGGUAAUGAUUAAUAGGGAUAGUUGGGGGCAUUAAUAUUUAAUUGUCAGAGGUGAAAUUCUUGGAUUUAUGAAAGAUUAACUUCUGCGAAAGCAUCUGCCAAGGAUGUUUUCAUUAAUCAAGAACGAAAGUUAGGGGAUCGAAGACGAUCAGAUACCGUCGUAGUCUUAACCAUAAACGAUGCCGACCAGCGAUUAGGAGACGUUGAAUACAAAACACCACCAUUGGUGCGGUCGUCCCUUGGCAUUUGGUCGUGGCGCGAGUCCACGGCCAGGUGCGGGG